UGCUAGUUUUCUAGCGAAUGGUUCAUUCUUUUUUACUGUGAACUGUUUUAAUUUUUCAGCGUCUGAGGAAUGUCUUUUAGCCAUAGGGAUAGGCUACUAGAAUGUUAACCGAGCUGAAAGUCAGGCUUAGGCCUGGUAUCCUAUUAAUUAUUUACCAAAAGAAUUCAGUAUUAUAAUUGUAACAUAAGCGUAAAAAACUUAUAAAACAACUUUUAACAACGGAUCUCUUGGUUCUCGCAUCGAUGAAGAACGUAGCAAAGUGCGAUAACUAGUGUGAAUUGCAUAUUCAGUGAAUCAUCGAGUCUUUGAACGCAACUUGCGCUCAAUGGUAUUCCAUUGAGCACGCCUGUUUCAGUAUCAAAAACACCCCACAUUCAUAAUUUUGUUGUGAAUGGAAAUGAGAGUUUCGGCUUUAUUGCUGAAUUCUUUAAAAUUAUUAGGCCUGAACUAUUGUUCUUUCUGCCUGAACAUUUUUUUAAUAUAAAGGAAUGCUCUAGUAAAAAGACUAUCUCUGGGGCCUCCCAAAUAAAUCAUUCUUAAAUUUGAUCUGAAAUCAGGCGGGAUUACCCGCUGAACUUAAGCAUAUCAAUAAGCGGAGG
rnacentral:rRNA from 1 species